UCAAACUUGGUCAUUUAGAGGAAGUAAAAGUCGUAACAAGGUUUCCGUAGGUGAACCUGCGGAAGGAUCAUUAAAAAAACUUUUGCCCGCGACCUCCGCGUCCGGAGCAAAAACAAACCCACACCGUGUGCACCGUUACCGUUUUCUUUGGCAGGGGCUUGGGGUUCUCGUCGAGAUCCCAACUUCUCCACUGGCUCCAUCCCAAUAUAAUCCCUUCGCGGGGGUUUUGGGACAGCCAGACAUGGGAAGCCGUACCAUGCCAAGUGACCCUAAAUCACUCUUUUUUUUUUGCCUGAAUGAAACUUUUGCGUUUUUAAAUUAAAACCAAACAUAACUUUCAACAACGGAUCUCUUGGCUCUCGCAUCGAUGAAGAACGCAGC
rnacentral:misc_RNA from 1 species